UGUAUGGACACAAAUACUAUUUUUCUACUUAUUAGGUGUUAUUUCUACUUCAUAUGCUAACAUUCUGAAAAACAGUAAAUGACCUCUUGAUACAUUAAACUUUUUUUAACAUCAAAGAUUUUCCAAUAAACUUUGUGCCUCUUAAAGGAAUAAUUUCAACAUGCUAACUAAUUUUCAUAAUUGUAAGCUGUCCAAGAUAGCAGAAAGUGCCUGUUAGAUUCUCAGAAUAUAUCCUUUGUAGUCUCUGCCAUUUAUUUGUUAUUUGACUUGAGGCUCUUUGAAUUGAUCAAACUGUAUCUAGUUGUUCACAAAAGGCAGUUGGAAUUGCAUUAACUGUGACAACUCUCUGAAAGGGUGGUUUCUAGAAUAAAAUUAUGUAGAAUGGAUAAAGAUGUAUUGAAAGUCACAAAAUUUUUUCAAAUUAACACUGACUGAGAAAAAUGAAGUGUCAUUGUUACUUGCAGAGGUUAGUGUAUUGAAACUGGAGAGAAGAAAAAUGAAAGCAAUUGUCAUAUCACAAAGAGAAUUUUGAUUCUGAUCAUUUUAUGUUAUCUGGUCAAAUUUGGGUAUUUCAAAAGAAAAACUCUCUACAGUGUCUUAAUUAUGUUAUAAAGUGUACAGAGCAGCUCAGCUUGUUCCCACAUUAGUUUCUAUUUAUGGUGCAUUACAGAAUUCUGCCAUAUUAUGUUGAAGACUCAAAAAGAGCAUUGAUAACACAUCACUUAAAUGUGACACCUUAAUAUUGCCUUCUUAUUGCUAAAAGUGCUCAUAAAAAUUUGAUGAGAUUAAAUUGGUACCUUUUUACUUACUUUGGCUAUUAAAUUCAAUUGAUAUUUGAUCUUUUUAUAGAAAGAAAGGAGGCAAAGUAUAACUUUCAAUGGUUUCCCCCCACCCGCCGAGGACUAAUAACACUUGGAAGAAAGAUUCAACACAACUAAACAAAUUGGAUGCAGCAAGAAAAUCUCUUUCCUUGCCUUAAUAUCAAACACUACUCCAGGUGCAGCAAAAGCUUAAGUGUAGUAGGUUUAGCCCUGUAGCUCCACUUCCACUCAGAAGUUUUAGAGAAAAAUUAUAACUGGAUGACACAGUACUCAUUUUCCUUCUUAUUCCCUUCUUUCAAAAUGUACAGCUUACUUCAUCACAGCCUCAUCAUUAGAGCAUUUCCUUAUGCAUUACCUGUAGUCAUCUCCUUGGUACUAUUCAAAAGAUGAACAGUUUACUUAUCUCUCCCUUAUAAGAUCUAGUUAUUCACUGAGAAAUGUUCCUUAAAAAUACUUACAGGAUGAAUGAGAACAAGUUAUGUGAAAAUACAUAAGUUUCAUUUAACCUCAACAUCAAAGGGUAUGUUGAAAUCAAAGAAAUUUUAAACGCCAAAUAGUUAUUAUAAAAUACAUGUUUGAAAGCCCCUUGAGAACUUCAUAAAAUCAAGAAAGAGGAAAUGGAUGAGUCCUUAGCAACUCACAGAGCCAGUUUCACAACCUCCUGGCCUUGUGGCUUAGCUAUACGAAAUAGAUGAAAAAUAGAAAGCUUUUAUUCAUCACUCAUGUUGUUCUCCAACUAAAGUCCUUUAAACAGAGAGGAAAUGCAAAUCCAAGUUGCCUUCUGUAAAAAAAAAAAGUCUGCAAACUGACAUUUCAAUGUCUUUAUACAUUGACCUCUAAAACAGUAUAAAGUAAUAAAAACUGUUGGGUGAAGGAUAAAGACAAGCAAUAGCUUUAUAACAUAUUCAUAAAAGAUGCCACAAUACUGCCAUCUACAGCUUCAGUAUUUGCCAUUUUUAGAUAUUACAAUGCAUGUUUCGUAUUUUAAAAUAAGAAGAACAUGUGACUUGAGUUGUGUGAACAUGUGAUAUGAGUUGAGGGUCAUGUUGGGUGAACUGCUGUUAAUAAAAGUAUAAGUGGAUUUCAGGAUGGAGAUGAAAUGUUAACAAUGAACAAAUCAAUUUAUAAUUAUUUACAUACAACUGUAAUUGAGGUUAUUUAUAAUGUUUAAAAUUAGUAUGAAAUUUACACCACCAUUCUACAUAUUUCAGUUUUGAUAAUGGUCUGCUUGAAGAAAAGGAAAGAGAAAAAAGGAGACUCCAAAAUCUUUUUCUUGUCAAAGAGACACACCAAGAAGAUUGUCACUGCUCCUGUUUCUUUCCAAAGUCAUUGAUUGCCCUUGACCUUAAUACAGCCUCACAUUAAGAUCUAUGGAGAUGAACAGACUGUAUUAGAAACUAAUCUACUUUCAGAAUUCUAGUGUCUUCUCAGACCCUGUAUUGAAGAUCUGGGAUCAAACCUCACCACCAUUUUCAGCUCCUGAAAUACAAGGGUAAAAGACCUCGGUGAGAAAUCAUGCAAGCAGCCUUUCAAUUCUAAAUUAAACACCCUUUUUUGUUUGCUUUGUUUAACGGACGUGAUAGAAUAAAUUUUCUGGUUAAAUCUUAUUAUUUAUUUUUUGUUUUUGUUUUUCGAGAUUUAGUCUCCCUCUGCCACCCAGGCUGGAGUGCAGUGGUGCAAUCUUGGUUUGCUGCAACCUCCACCUCCUGGGUUCCAGGGAUUCUCCUGCCUCAGCCUCCCAAGUAGCUGGGAUUAAAAGGCAUGCGCCACUGCAUGCCACUAUUUUUUUUUUUUUUUUUUUUUGGAUUUUUAGUAGAGAGAGAAUUUCACCAUAUUGGCCAGGCUGGUCUCAAACUCCUGACCUCAGGUGAUCUGCCCACCUUGGCCUCCCAAAGUGCUGGGAUUAUACAGGCAUGAGCCACCGCGCCUGGCCAAAAAUAGACUUUAUUUCUUAGAGCAGCUUUUCUAUCCAAAGGUAAAUGCUAUUUUGCUAUUUUAUUCUUGUUUUGUUUUUAGUGAGAGUGCAUAUUGUACCACUCUUGCUUUGUUUUAUUUGGCUGAAUCUAAGGGGCAGAUUGGCCUAUACUACCCUUUGACUGUGCUGAUUCUGUCUAGUAGGACAGGAUAACAAUGACUUGCUACUAUACAGAGAACUCACUAAGGAGAAUUCUUUUAACUUGUAUUUUAAGUUCAGGGCUACAAAUGCAGGUUUGUUCCAUAGGUAAACUUGUGUCAUGGGGGUUCGUUGUACAAAUUAUUUCAUCACACAGGUAUCAAGCCUAGUAACUAUUAAUUAUUUUUCCUGAUCUUCUUUCUCCUCCCACCCUCCAAUCUCCAAAAGACUCCAGUGUGUGUCGCUCCCUUCUGUGUGUCCAUGUGUUCUCAUCAUUUAGCUCCCACUGAUAAGUGAGAGAAUAUGCGAUAUUUGGUUUUCUUUUCCCGUGUUAGUUUGUUAAGGAUAAUGGCCUCCAGCUCCAUCCAUGUCCUUUCAAAGAACAUGAUCUUGUUCUUUUUUAUGGCUGUAUAGUAUGCUAUGGUAUAUAUACACCACAUUUUCUUUAUCCAGUCUAUUAUUGAUGGGCAUUUAGGUUGAUCCUUGUCUUUGCUAUUUUGAAUAGUGCUGCAAUGAACACAUGUGUGCAAGUGUCUUUAUAAUAGAAUGAUUUAUAUUUCUUUGGGUAUAUACCAAGUAAUGGCAUUUCUGGGUCAAAUGGGAUUUCUGUCUUUAGGUCUUUGAGGGAUCGCCACACUGUCUUCCAGGAUUACCCAGCAUCUAUAAGGAGCUUAAACAAAUUUACAAGAAAAAACACACACAUUAAAAAAAGUGGGCAAAGGAUGUGAACAGACAAUUCUCAAAAGAAGCCAUACAUACGGCCAACAAUCAUGCGAAAAAAAAGCUACAUCACCGAUCAUUAGAGAAAAGGAGAACUUUUGCAUAUGCCUCACUCUAUUGAAAUCUCGUAAUGUGGUUAAUAUUUUGUUUGUUUUUCAUUAAAAUUUCUAUUGCUCUGGUGUUGCUGAAUUUGGAUAAAUAACUUAGACACAUCAAAGAGAUUAGUCUGACAAUUUUUAUGUUAAGAAUUAUGGAAUGUAUUGAUGGUUGAUUGUCCAUGUAUUUCUGAUCAAAUAGUCAGAACACCUAAAAGACAGGCAAAGUUUCAGUAUAGAAAACCAGGAAAACUGAUCAAUGAUGAAAACAAUAUGGCAAAGCAAUAACCAUAGAAAUAGACCCACUGAAUGUUUCUCCCUGUCAGAAAUCAGUGUUUCAAUAAGCACAGGGCAGCCAUUACUCUCCUUUGAAGAAUCAGGCUCAGCUACUUCAUCCCUUCCCUACUUCUCCAUUCCCCGCUCAGAGAGGGUAACAUGCCUCUGAAAUGGUUAAGAUUAAGCAAGGCAAUAUGCCCUUAGGAACAAAUAAGCAGAAGCAAAUUGCCACACACUUUGUGGCUUAAAGCAGCAAAAAUAACAAAUACACAUUUCAUUGUAGUUCUGGAGGUCAGAAAUUCAAAGCAGGUCUCACUGAGCCAAAAUCAAGGUGUUAGGAGGCAUGGGUUCUUUUUGGAGGCUCUAGCAGAGAAUCUAGAGUUUCCUAGACUUUUCCACUUUCUAGAGGCCACCAGCAUUCACUGGCUCCUGGUGUAUUCCUUCCUCAAUUCAAAAUGUAUCACUCCACUUUGCUUCCUUUGUCAUAUCUCUUUUCUCUAAUCUUUAUAUUUUUGCCUCCAUCUUAUAAGGAAUUUUAUGAUUACUUUGGGCCAAUCUGGGAAAUCUAGGAUAAAAUCUGGAGCACACUGGUUUGAUCAUGGCUCACUGUAGCCUCAAACUCCUAGGCUCAAGCAAUCUUCCUGCCUCAGCCACUGAGUAGCUAGGACUAUGGGCAUGCACCCCCUUCACCUACCUAAUUUUGUGUGUUUUGUAGAGAUGGGAUCUCCCUAUGUCACCCAGGCUGGUCUGAACUCCUGGCCUCAAGCAAUCCUCCUGCCUCAGCCUCUCAAAUUAUUGGGAUUACAGGCAUGAACCAUUGCACCCAGCCUCAAGAUAUUUAAUUUAGUCAUCUGUAAAGUUCCUUUUCCAUAUAAGGAAGAGAAGUCUCCAGCAGCCAUGGAGGAGCUAUUCUCUAACACUGCUUAGAAAGUGGAUCUGUGUGGCCCAAGUGGUAGACUGUGCUCACCAGGAAAACAAGUACUCAGAUCUACUGCUUCUGGGAAAUCUGCAUAAUUGACCAAUGGCCUCAGUGCUACCCCACUGUUAUAAAAUGCACAGGAGACAAGGACUAGAAAGAGAAACCUUCAACAUAUAUAAGACAUGUUUUUCCUUCCAGACAUUUGCCAGGUUAUGAAGCCACAUGUGGUUAAAAUCUAAUAAGCUAAACUCAAAAUAUGCAAAGGCUAGAACUUCCAGGAAGAUGUAACAAAGAUCUGCCAAGUCCAGUGAAGUUGAUACCUCAGUGGUCGUGGGCUGGACCUGAAAGGCAGUGUGAAAUAUUGAGAGGCAUAGUCCUCCUUAAAGCAGAACCCUGCAGCAUGUAUACCAAAGUCACAUCUUCAAAGCUAAUCGCUGUGACCUGUUAUUGAAACAGACAUUUUACUAUGACAUUGAGGUGACCUCUCAUGCCUUUCACCUGUUAACACAGGAGUGGACAGAUACUCACAGGAAAUAAAUAAUGAACUCAGUAGAAAAAAAGACCUAUGAACUGAAAGAGAAUACAAUAGAAAUUAUAUUUAGUAAAGCACAAAGAGAAAAAUGAGUAACAAGAAGAGAACUUUCUAUAUGAUGCAUAUGGAACACAGUCAAGUAAAGACUAAGCAGAGCAUCAUAACAGCCUAUAUGUGGAAACUUCUCUAUUCAUUUAUUACAUUACAUUUGUUUGUAUCCUUUAAUUGUACCCUUACUUUUUAUCCUGUCAGCUUUAUUCUUUCUGGCCAGUAUCAUUUAUGUAAAAAUUGAUAGGUAGGACUGGCUGGGCGCAGUGGCUCACGUCUGUAAUGCCACCACUUUGGGAGGCCGAGGCAGGCGGAUCACCUGAGGUCAGGAGUUUGAGACCAGCCUGGCCACAUGGUGAAACCCUGUCUCUACUAAAAAUAAAAAAAUAAUAAAAAUAAAAAAAAUAGCUGAGCAUGGUGGCGGGUGCCUGUAAUCCCAGCUACUUGUGAGACUGAGACAGGAGAAUCGCUUGAACCUGGGAGGCGGAGUCGCAGUGAGCCAAGAUCAUGCCACUGUUUUCCAGCCUGGGAGACAAGAGCAAAACUCCAUCUCAAAAAAAAAAAAAAUUAAUAGGUAGGACUAACCAGAUGUAUUUCUAUCAAUAUUAUUUUUAAUAUUUUUCUUUUUAAUCAAAAUUUAAAAGUAAAAAUAUGCAUAGGGAAAAUGAGACUAGUAUUUAUUUAUUAGCUAUUUAAUUUCUACCAACUCUAUUAAAUCUUUUGGAAUGUCUUAAAGUAUAAUUUAUAUUUUAGUUUGGAUAAAGACAUAGCUAUAUAUUAACAUGAAUAUGAAGUUAUAUAUUGAUUUAUAUUAUAUUUCCUAUAAAAUCACAUAAUACAUAGUAAGAAUGUAUAAGAUGAUACAAGUCAAAUCAUGGAUGCUUGGAGAUCUUGUGAUGAAGCCUGUUCUUCCCUUGGUAGCUGGGCAUGAUGUGGCCCAUCUUCAUGCUAGGCCAGCAUUCCCUUGCUUCUGUAUACCUAAUUUCUCCUUCUCAGAUGCACUCCCAACAAUGUAUGCAGAAAGCUAAAAAAAUGAAUGAGUGUAGUUAAUAAGAUGCUAUUGAAACUGAGCCCCAAAUCUAGCUCUGAGCACAAUGAUAGCUAAAACUUAAGGAGAGGCAGAUCAAAUAGAUUUCAUCACCAAAGCACAGAAGCAUAUUUGUUCAACAACAGAGCUUUGCAUUUACAAAAGAGAAAAGAGCAUGUUUGGGGUAAUUUAUUUUGAAAUUGCUCUGUCAAAAGCUAAUUUCAUUUUGUUCCAUGAGGCCAAUUUGGCUCAUAUGUUUGUGCUUUGAUAAAGGCAUAGGAAUAAUAUUAAAAUUGUUGCAACUCUACGGAGAUUAUAAAACUUUCUCAAGGCAAAUUUCUUGUCUCUGGAAAGAAAGAAUGGUGAAUAAUGAAUGACGGAAAUUUGAAAAUGAAUUCGUUCAACAAACACUUAUUGAGUGAAUGCUGUGUGCCCGAUGCGUUAAGUCUAAAUCAUCUAGUGCUGCAGUGAGUGAGCCAGGGUGAGAAAACAAUGAAAAGAGCAGACAGGUUGUUAUUCAAAAUGUCUUUUUUUUUCUCCAUGCAAUGUUUCAAAUUUGGAGAGUCAUAGUUUGUUAUUGAUCCAUCAAAUAUUAUGAACUAUAAGACCCCAAUAUACAGUGGCUUAAAAAUAGAGAUAUAUUUACCUCUCACCUAACAUACCAGGGCAUUUCCAGGUUUUAUAGUAGCUUAAUCAUGUCAGGAAACCACACUUCUUUCAUCUUCUACUCCUCUAUCCCUAUAGGCCUUUGCCUAUCAUGUGAAAAAGAGUGUUAACCAGUGGGAAAAAUAAAAAAGAAAAAAGGGAAGAGUAAUUCAUAUCAUUUGAAUUAAAUAACCUAGAAUUUGCACACAUCAUUUCUGCUUCUAUCCUUUUAACCAAAAUAGGAAGUUACGGAACACCUACUGAAGGAGCUGGGCAUAGAGUUUUGCUGGGUAGCCAGGCAGGUUAUUCUUCCCACAAAUGAAAAACACUCAUUUUUAAUGCAAUAACACAGGGAUCUGUGUUACAGGGUAACACGCAGAUCUAUUCAUUCACUAUCGCAAGGUAAAUCCCACAAUUUUUUUUUUUUGAUAAGUAAUUCCACUAGGGGUUUUUAUUUUGGUUUUUUUUUUUUUUUUUUUUUUUUUUUUUUUUUUUUGGACAGAGUCUCGCUUUUCACUCUGUCACCCAGGCUGGAGUGCAGUGGCAUGAUCUCGGCUCACUGCAACCUCGUCCUCCCAGGUUGAAGCAAUUCUCUGGCCUCAGCCUCCCGAGUAGCUGGGACUACAGGCACGUGCCUCCAUGCCCGGCUAAUUUUUUGUAUUUUUUUUAAGUAGAGACAGGGUUUCAUCGUGUUUGCCAGGAUGGUCUCAAACUCCUGACCUCGUGAUCUGCCCGCCUUGGCCUCCCAAAAUGCUAGGAUUACAGGCGUGAGCCACCGCGCCCGGACACCAGCAGGUUUUUGACUCAUGGGCUAAAUCAAAUCCUCUCCGAUAUAAAAUAUAAUAGAGAAUAGGAAUAUGGUCACUACCAUAAUACUCUCAUUUGGAAAAUGGAAGAAUAAGAAACAAACAUCCUCUUUUCUAAAGUAAAUUAAUACAUACAUGUGAAAAGUAUCUGCUCUGCUACUCAAGAGAUUUUCCUUGAUGAAUAUUUAUGGCAGUUCUGGGUUUCGCUCUCUUGAACGUUUUUCUCUGCUUAGAAACUUCUUGGCCACAUCUGAGAUUGGACUGAGAAAGAAAAAUUAUGUCCUUAAAACCUGCCUAACAUUUACCCAAGUCAUUGUAGUUUGUUGUUCAUUUAUUUAGGUAAUAAUACACUUGCUGCAAAAC
rnacentral:lncRNA from 10 species